rnacentral:tRNA from 1 species
AUAAAGAUGGCAGAUUAGUGCAUUAGGUUUAAGCCCUAAAAAUAUAGAUGAAGGGUCUUUUCUUUAUA